rnacentral:rRNA from 1 species
UAACUCCUACGGGAGGCAGCAGUGGGGAAUAUUGGACAAUGGGCGCAAGCCUGAUCCAGCCAUGCCGCGUGAGUGAUGAAGGCCCUAGGGUUGUAAAGAUCUUUCACCGGUGAAGAUAAUGACGGUAACCGGAGAAGAAGCCCCGGCUAACUUCGUGCCAGCAGCCGCGGUAAUACGAAGGGGGCUAGCGUUGUUCGGAUUUACUGGGCGUAAAGCGCACGUAGGCGGACUAUUAAGUCAGGGGUGAAAUCCCGGGGCUCAACCCCGGAACUGCCUUUGAUACUGGUAGUCUUGAGUUCGAGAGAGGUGAGUGGAAUUCCGAGUGUAGAGGUGAAAUUCGUAGAUAUUCGGAGGAACACCAGUGGCGAAGGCGGCUCACUGGCUCGAUACUGACGCUGAGGUGCGAAAGCGUGGGGAGCAAACAGGAUUAGAAACCCCUGGAGUCCCAUGA